rnacentral:tRNA from 1 species
UCAGUGGUUGUCCAGUGGUAGAAUUCUUGCCUUCCAUGUAGGAGACCCAGGUUUGAUUCCUGGCCAAUGUA